UGGGGAAUAUUGCGCAAUGGGGGAAACCCUGACGCAGCAACGCCGCGUGAAGGAUGAAGGCUUUCGGGUCGUAAACUUUUGUCUUCUGGGAAGAGCAAGGACGGUACCAGAGGAGGAAGCCACGGCUAACUACGUGCCAGCAGCCGCGGUAAUACGUAGGUGGCAAGCGUUGUCCGGAUUUACUGGGUGUAAAGGGCGUGUAGGCGGGAAGAUAAGUCAGAUGUGAAAUACCGGGGCUCAACUCCGGGGCUGCAUUUGAAACUAUUUUUCUUGAGUGCAGGAGAGGGAAGCGGAAUUCCUAGUGUAGCGGUGAAAUGCGUAGAUAUUAGGAGGAACACCAGUGGCGAAGGCGGCUUCCUGGACUGUAACUGACGCUGAGGCGCGAAAGCGUGGGGAGCGAACAGG
rnacentral:rRNA from 1 species